UGCAAGUCGAGCGGACAGAUGGGAGCUUGCUCCCUGAUGUUAGCGGCGGACGGGUGAGUAACACGUGGGUAACCUGCCUGUAAGACUGGGAUAACUCCGGGAAACCGGGGCUAAUACCGGAUGGUUGUUUGAACCGCAUGGUUCAAACAUAAAAGGUGGCUUCGGCUACCACUUACAGAUGGACCCGCGGCGCAUUAGCUAGUUGGUGAGGUAAUGGCUCACCAAGGCAACGAUGCGUAGCCGACCUGAGAGGGUGAUCGGCCACACUGGGACUGAGACACGGCCCAGACUCCUACGGGAGGCAGCAGUAGGGAAUCUUCCGCAAUGGACGAAAGUCUGACGGAGCAACGCCGCGUGAGUGAUGAAGGUUUUCGGAUCGUAAAGCUCUGUUGUUAGGGAAGAACAAGUACCGUUCGAAUAGGGCGGUACCUUGACGGUACCUAACCAGAAAGCCACGGCUAACUACGUGCCAGCAGCCGCGGUAAUACGUAGGUGGCAAGCGUUGUCCGGAAUUAUUGGGCGUAAAGGGCUCGCAGGCGGUUUCUUAAGUCUGAUGUGAAAGCCCCCGGCUCAACCGGGGAGGGUCAUUGGAAACUGGGGAACUUGAGUGCAGAAGAGGAGAGUGGAAUUCCACGUGUAGCGGUGAAAUGCGUAGAGAUGUGGAGGAACACCAGUGGCGAAGGCGACUCUCUGGUCUGUAACUGACGCUGAGGAGCGAAAGCGUGGGGAGCGAACAGGAUUAGAUACCCUGGUAGUCCACGCCGUAAACGAUGAGUGCUAAGUGUUUAGGGGGUUUCCGCCCCUUAGUGCUGCAGCUAACGCAUUAAGCACUCCGCCUGGGGAGUACGGUCGCAAGACUGAAACUCAAAGGAAUUGACGGGGGCCCGCACAAGCGGUGGAGCAUGUGGUUUAAUUCGAAGCAACGCGAAGAACCUUACCAGGUCUUGACAUCCUCUGACAAUCCUAGAGAUAGGACGUCCCCUUCGGGGGCAGAGUGACAGGUGGUGCAUGGUUGUCGUCAGCUCGUGUCGUGAGAUGUUGGGUUAAGUCCCGCAACGAGCGCAACCCUUGAUCUUAGUUGCCAGCAUUCAGUUGGGCACUCUAAGGUGACUGCCGGUGACAAACCGGAGGAAGGUGGGGAUGACGUCAAAUCAUCAUGCCCCUUAUGACCUGGGCUACACACGUGCUACAAUGGACAGAACAAAGGGCAGCGAAACCGCGAGGUUAAGCCAAUCCCACAAAUCUGUUCUCAGUUCGGAUCGCAGUCUGCAACUCGACUGCGUGAAGCUGGAAUCGCUAGUAAUCGCGGAUCA
rnacentral:rRNA from 1 species